GUAAGUCUACAUUGCAUUGAACACUUAAAAAGCAGAGUCUUGUUCCAGCUGGGGAUUUUGGAUAGCAGUUCAGACCAUUGAUUCCAAAGAUCCAGGAAGAAGGAAAAUAUAAUAAGCAACUAGAAUGAGAUGAGGCUACUACGGUCGUCACCAUCAGGUACCUCAAAAUGAACUUUAAAUAUCUGUAAUUGAUGUUCACAUCUUUUUGGAGCCACAAAUAAUUUCAGUGAAAUUAGCGAAAACCUGUGAUUUUACAAAUUGUCAUAAAUGUUAUUUAGAGCUCAUGCUGUAAUACAUUAAUACAAAUGUUCCCCUGAUUUUCAGUAUAAUAAACUGAGUCCUUUCCGUGUUUUA